UAACUGUGGAACAUUGAUAGCCAUUGGAGCAC
rnacentral:piRNA from 1 species